UACGUAGGGUGCAAGCGUUGUCCGGAAUUAUUGGGCGUAAAGAGCUCGUAGGCGGUCUGUCGCGUCGGAUGUGAAAACCCGGGGCUCAACCCUGGGCCUGCAUUCGAUACGGGCAGACUAGAGUUCGGCAGGGGAGACUGGAAUUCCUGGUGUAGCGGUGAAAUGCGCAGAUAUCAGGAGGAACACCGGUGGCGAAGGCGGGUCUCUGGGCCGACACUGACGCUGAGGCGCGAAAGCUAGGGGAGCGAACGGGAUUAGAAACCCUAGUAGU
rnacentral:rRNA from 1 species